GCAAACUUGGUCAUUUAGAGGAAGUAAAAGUCGUAACAAGGUUUCCGUAGGUGAACCUGCGGAAGGAUCAUUAUUGAAUGAAAUUAGUUAGACUGUUGCUGGUUCUUAGGAGCAUGUGCACGUCUAACAUCAUUCUUACCACCUGUGCACUCUUUGUAGACUUGGAGUUUUAAUCGAGGUCAAACUCGGAUUUGAGGACUUGCCUGAAAGGGCUGUCCUUGAGCUCUAGUCUAUGUUUCAAUAUACCCUAUGAAUGUAAUGGAAUGUAUAUGUAUUGGCCAUUGUGCCUUUAAAUGUUAAUACAACUUUCAACAACGGAUCUCUUGGCUCUCGCAUCGAUGAAGAACGCAGC
rnacentral:misc_RNA from 1 species